ACUCAAAGGAAUUGACGGGGACCCGCACAAGCGGUGGAGCGUGUUCUUUAAUUCGAUGGUAAGCGAAGAACCUUACCAGGGCUUGAUAUCCUUGGAAUCACUGUGAAAGCAGUGAGUGCCGUGAGGAGCCAAGUGACAGGUGGUGCAUGGCCGUCGUCAGCUCGUGUCGUGAGACGUUAGGUUAAGUCCUUCAACGAGCGCAACCCUUAUGAAUAGUUGUAUUUUUCUAUUCAGACUGCCCCGGUAACGGGGAGGAAGGAGGGGAUGAUGUCAGGUCAGUAUUCCCCUUACGCCCUGGGCUAGAAACGCGCUACAAUGGCCGGUACAACGCGAAGCAAAGUCGUGAGAUGGAGCAAAUCGCAUCAAAGCCGGUCCCAGUUCAGAUUGCAGGCUGAAACUCGCCUGCAUGAAGUCGGAAUCGCUAGUAAUCGCAGGUCAGCACACUGCGGUGAAUACGUUCCCGGGUCUUGUACACACCGCCCGU
rnacentral:rRNA from 1 species